rnacentral:tRNA from 2 species
CAAAAAGUAGUUUAGUUAAAGAAUCGAAGCUUUGGGAGUUUUGGGCGUAGAUUUCUACCUUUUUGA